GCAUAAUUUAAUGGGUGUAUUUUUGCGUUGUUUUUGUCUCAUUCGCAUGGAAUGUGGAAUCCAAGUGGAUUGGGCUGAGCUUUAUACAAGAUUCGAGUUGCAUUUUUACACCACCCUACUGGGCCCAGAGGAUACCAGCUUAGCGUGUGUAUGAAAUUUGCAUCUAAAAGCCGCGCGCAACAGCAAGCAAAAGCAAGAGCAAAGUCAAAUGCAAACAAUUCCAAACACUGUGCGUGUUGGUAAACGGGUUUACUUUACUCUGGAAACCGCAAUAACAACAAUACCGAAUUAUAUUUAUCAAUUGCAACGCUUGUGUAUCGCAUUUACGGACACUUAAUUCAACACUUUUCGACUCGUUUUAAUCAAAACAAGGCUUCAAUGCACAACAAAAACAAAUUGUAAAAAAAUAAUAAAUUGUAAACGCACGCAGACGCCGUCGCGCCAGUCCGCUCAAUGAGUUUUAUGCGACUGAAUCCAAAAAGCGACUGUUAAGUUAACAGGCUCUCUGUGAGCGCAACAGUUGGUUAACAGUUUUACAACAAGAGAAUGGAAACCGUUUACAUGCAAUAGCCAGUCUAAAUUAUACGGAGCUCUGUAAACAAACACAACUCGCGCAACGUAAAAUUAACAGUACGUAUGCGCAA